UGAAACGUGCUCGUGCUACGCAAACAACGGAGAAGAACAGGAUUUGACGCUGGAUACCCACAGGAAGAGACCCCGGGGCGGUUCUGCUCUCCUUCUGACGCCUUCCUCUCGGGGUUCACAUGUCACUAGCUACUCGAGGCUCGAGGGUGAGCUCUCUCAGAUCAACACGAGCAGGCAUCUGGAUCCAUGUUUCCUCUGUGAUCAGAAGUAAAGCUAAAAGAAAUUGCGACGGAAGCAUCACUCAUCUGGAUUGUAACGGGUUAUUUAUUGCAGUGCUUUCUUUAUUGUUUCCGUGGUUUGACAUUUGACAGUUCUUUUAACAUUAGGUUGUGUGAACACAUUUAAUUUAAUAGUCUUUGUCUUUGAGAGGUGGACAUCUCCUCGGUCUGUUGAUGUUCUGUAUUUAAUAUAUUAUCUGAGUCUUGUGUUUAGCCUCCGCCAUGUUGUUUGCGCCGGGUUUAAACAAAGUCAUCCCGUCAUGGCGGCCGCAGAUGGAGAUUAGGAGUAUGGUAACACACACGGGGCGGGGGGACUUAUUUGCCUCGACUCUGUUAUCUCCCUCACAGACCCGAACCGGACAAAUAGACCGUGAAGAAUGGAACCAAGAAGACCGCAUGUUAAAGAAUCAAAUAUUUUGAUAACAAGUGUGUUUGUGUGUAUAUUGAAGAUCUUCAGGAUGGGAUGUUUUGCAGUAUGGGCGUGGUCUGUUGGCCAGAACCCUUCGACUUCAGUUUGAUUGUAGUUGGGAGGGGGAGACACCUAGCCACGGGGGGCGCUGUUGUAAAGGAUAGCAAUGCUGAUAUGACGCUGUUACCAAAUGACGCCGGUAAGUUGUAUUCUGAUGUAUUCUUUCGUGUCGUACGAACAUGAACUGCACGCGAGAUGUUGCGCCACGUUAAACACCGGGAGAGCUCGUUGACAUGGAGCUGUAUUUGGUUCAUGUCUUUACAUUAGGUAACUGGUGAUGGAUGUAUACUAACAGAUAUUGCUAAAAUAAAAGAUAUGACUCUCUCCCCCCCCACAUAAGUUGACAAUUUAAUGAAUUGACUGUAUGUUAAAUUACAAGUUGGAGGUUCUUUCUCCUAUUUUUGUUGUUUAAUCUUUCUCGAUCGUCAGGAAUGAGGCGCCAAUGAAUGGAAUGAAGCUGCUUGCCAUAAAGAUGUUUCACACGGUCCAUCAACUUGGCUAGGCUUAACCAGCUUCAACAAAUUAUGACUUAAGGUCAACUUUCUGAACUACGGAGCAACAUGAGCAUCAAAAUGCACGACUUGUUCUGACACCUGGAUCAAUGAGUGAUGAGCAGGAGGAGAGAUUCCAUCAGGACAGAAAAGAGACGGAGAAUUUUACACAAUGAAGACGUCCUACACUGAUUAGUGUUAAUUAUUCAAUUUAUAGAAGUCCAAGUUUGUAGCAUUAAUUAAUACACUCUGUUACAUUUUUUUUUCCUAAAACCUGUUUUAGAUGAGAAAUAUGAAUGGAAACAAACUGAUAAUGUCACUAAAAUGUAAUUUAAUCAGAAGAUCAGAUUUCUCUAAAUGAAUUUAGAAUAAAAACCUGACUUGACUGAGAAAAAUCAAUGUCAUUUUUGGAUUCAGUGGUGCAAAACUUCAAAAAAACAUCAUAUUUUUUGUAGCCUAUUGUUAUUAAUAUAAAAGUACCAAACAGAAGUAGCAAUUAGCAAUGUUCAACUCUGAAGGCCGGUUCAGAAUAGUUCAAUGUUUUGCUCUGGGUCAUUCUUGGAUCAUUUGAGUCUUUAUCCUGUUGAAAGACCCUUAUGAUCUGCGACUGAGGUCAGGCUUUCUGAGAAGGCAGCACAUUUCUGUCCAGAACACCCAGAGAGUCUUGAGAUUUCAUCAUACCCCGCAUCGAGACGCCCUGCACCAGAUGUAGCACAGCAGCCCCAGAAUAUAACUGAGCCUCCUCCACGUUUCACUCUCAACUGAGAGUUCAUUUCUUGGUGCUUCAGUGUUGCAUCAGUGAACAACGAACUGAUAUGCCUUGAUAAAAAGCCCCAGUUUUGUCUCAUCUGUCCAAAGGACUUUCUCCUAAUGACCAUCAUCUCUUUGACUUCCUGUGGCCCAUGUUCAGGGUGGUACACACCAUGUACAUUUUUAGAAAGAGUUUUCCAUAUUCUGCUUUGAGGCAUUUUUACAUUUUCUGUCAUUGUCAUUUUUAAAUUAAAUAAAAUCCUUGGCCAAGGGUCGAACAACUGCUGACAAAUGUACCUUUCACCCUAAAGGAAGACUGAAGUCUUCUGUCUGUUUAUACAUUUGUGUAAAGAGGUAUUUAAAUAUAUCAAAAUUAAAGUUUCAAAACUGCUAAAACCAGGGAUGCACAAUAUAUCUACAUAAACAUCGUAUCGGGCGAUGCCCCAAGUCGAUAUGCAUGUAGCAUAUCAACAUGGGCACGAUAAGAAGGAAUGUGCAGAUGCUAAUUACCGAUAUUCAUUUCCAUUCUAUUGUAAAAAGUACAUUUUGGCGUCACGAGGAUUGGAGGGUGCUGAACUGAAGCAGAAAAACAUUAUCAGUGGUGUGGUUGUUUAUUCUUGAUGUCAAAAGGUCAGGAAAAUAUAAAUAUCACCAGUAACAGCAAUAUCAAUAUUGUAUAUCAAUAUCAGCCCAAAUUUCCCCAUUGGUGCAUCCCUAGCUAAAACUUUGCCACAACAGCUUUACAGGUUUAUGUCUCCCAAAGAAACUGGGUUGUCAUAUGGGCUACCUGGUACAUUAAGUCACACCCGAUACCAACAGUUCCUUCCUGGACUCACCAGGACACAGCAGGCGUCUGGUCAUCGCUGCCAUCUGGCCACAUACAAGGCCAAAAUGUGCUUCAAUGAGACAAAAUACAGAGGCGGGGUGAGCAGAAAUGACUUGAGAUUUUUGAAGCGUAAAGUAACACCGUGCUCUCUGUCUCUCACACCGCACACUGCAGGUCAGCUGGCUGAAUGAAUGGUCUUUUCCCUGGCUUACAAAAUAAGACAAAUUUGGCUUUUAACAAGACUGACGAUAUGUGCAUGGGAACGGCAGAAAGGAAUAACACAUUUUGCUAAAAAGCUUUUUAAAAACCUUGGUAAUUCCAUUUGAAGGAGUGUGCAUAAGACCGGCAUAAGAUCAUAAACACGACAUAACACCUGUUAUGAACAUGGAGUCUUCAUGAAUGUUUAUGGCUGUUGUCAUGAAGUCAUUUGGUAAAUAAUGACACUGUUAGUGCAAAGUUUACACUUUUAAUGGAACUUUUAGUACAACGUUGCAUUAAGUGUCCUUAUUUACCGAAUGACACUUCAUUUUAACAGUCAUAAACAUUCAUAAAGACUCUUUCAUGUUCAGGUGUUAUGUCGUGUUUAUGACACUAUGCCAGUCUUGUGCACACCACAUCAACUAAAGUGUUACCAAAACCUUUCUACUUUAUACCUUCACCUGAAUUUAAUGUGUAUGUAUGAAAAUGAAAACAAUCAAUAUUUUAAGUGUAAUAAAUGUAAAGAUGACUUUUGCUGCAGUCAAACUGCUCUCAAUAUUUGGUUGUACAUUUCAAAUAAAAGAUAAAGUGUG